UUAAUUUGAGAGUUUGAUCCUGGCUCAGGACGAACGCUGGCGGCGUGCCUAAUACAUGCAAGUCGAACGAACUCUGGUAUUGAUUGGUGCUUGCAUCAUGAUUUACAUUUGAGUGAGUGGCGAACUGGUGAGUAACACGUGGGAAACCUGCCCAGAAGCGGGGGAUAACACCUGGAAACAGAUGCUAAUACCGCAUAACAACUUGGACCGCAUGGUCCGAGUUUGAAAGAUGGCUUCGGCUAUCACUUUUGGAUGGUCCCGCGGCGUAUUAGCUAGAUGGUGGGGUAACGGCUCACCAUGGCAAUGAUACGUAGCCGACCUGAGAGGGUAAUCGGCCACAUUGGGACUGAGACACGGCCCAAACUCCUACGGGAGGCAGCAGUAGGGAAUCUUCCACAAUGGACGAAAGUCUGAUGGAGCAACGCCGCGUGAGUGAAGAAGGGUUUCGGCUCGUAAAACUCUGUUGUUAAAGAAGAACAUAUCUGAGAGUAACUGUUCAGGUAUUGACGGUAUUUAACCAGAAAGCCACGGCUAACUACGUGCCAGCAGCCGCGGUAAUACGUAGGUGGCAAGCGUUGUCCGGAUUUAUUGGGCGUAAAGCGAGCGCAGGCGGUUUUUUAAGUCUGAUGUGAAAGCCUUCGGCUCAACCGAAGAAGUGCAUCGGAAACUGGGAAACUUGAGUGCAGAAGAGGACAGUGGAACUCCAUGUGUAGCGGUGAAAUGCGUAGAUAUAUGGAAGAACACCAGUGGCGAAGGCGGCUGUCUGGUCUGUAACUGACGCUGAGGCUCGAAAGUAUGGGUAGCAAACAGGAUUAGAUACCCUGGUAGUCCAUACCGUAAACGAUGAAUGCUAAGUGUUGGAGGGUUUCCGCCCUUCAGUGCUGCAG
rnacentral:rRNA from 2 species